UGAGGAAUAUUGGUCAAUGGACGCAAGUCUGAACCAGCCAUGCCGCGUGCAGGAAGACGGCCCUAUGGGUUGUAAACUGCUUUUAUACGGGAAGAAACACCGGUUCGUGAACCGGCUUGACGGUACCGUAAGAAUAAGGAUCGGCUAACUCCGUGCCAGCAGCCGCGGUAAUACGGAGGAUCCAAGCGUUAUCCGGAAUCAUUGGGUUUAAAGGGUCCGUAGGCGGCCUUAUAAGUCAGUGGUGAAAUCCCGUCGCUCAACGAUGGAACUGCCAUUGAUACUGUAGGGCUUGAAUAACUGUGAAGUAACUAGAAUAUGUAGUGUAGCGGUGAAAUGCUUAGAUAUUACAUGGAAUACCAAUUGCGAAGGCAGGUUACUAAUAGUUCAUUGACGCUGAUGGACGAAAGCGUGGGUAGCGAACAGG
rnacentral:rRNA from 1 species